ensembl:lncRNA novel transcript
GUGCUGAAGGAAAACGUCAGAGCGCUAGACAGGAAGACUUGCAUGCCCGAGGUACAACUAUACGAGUUGAAAAUCAGUAAAGCAGCAGAAGUGAGGAGUCUAAGGUUUUUGCAGCGCUUCCCACCCCCAUGCACGUGUAAAUUUCAUUUGUAAUAAAUCUUCUGGUGUUUGGUAGUCUGGCCUACAUAUGCAAACUCUUGUAAACCAGGAUACGUUUUUAAAGCUGUAAAUGGAAGCAGCUGUUAAGCUCUCUCUAAGGAUGAAGUUUUUCAGCUGCCUGAGCCCGCUCCUUUCGCCUUUGGACACGCAGCAAAUUGUGGACGUUAAAAUCACAGGACCAUUCAAGAUUUCUUUAUGUACAUUGCUGGAUGCUGAAGAGGACAGAGGAACAAUGCUUUUGACUGAUUAUGGUUGAUGUACGUGACUUCAACAAUCAUAAUCUGACAGCCACCGUUCAGCUACUAUUUGAGGCCUGAAGAAAGGAGAAGAAACCACCAAUUGUAUCUCUUUCAGACUCCCUUCAGCAGACUGCUGCCUAUGUCUCAUGGCAAGAACUGCUAUGCUAUGUGGCCAUCCUUAGCUGUAAGAGAUGCUGAGAUUGUGAAUAUUUACUUCUUACAGUCUCUGUAUGAAUUUCUGUGAAGGACAAGAUAAUUUAGGAAAUUGAAAUGGUGUUAGUAUAGCCAGUCAUCCAAAUUUGUUUACUUUGUUGCUUCUUAACUAUUGAGCCUUGUGUUAUAGUAAAGAAUAUAGUACCUCUUAAACACCUAAGUUGUUCCUGAUUAUACAGUCAUAAAUUAGAUUAAGCUUAUAUCAUGAAUUCUUCUUUUUCCUUUAACAGAUAAAGCCCAUCACAGCACAUGGAUUUAAAGAUUUAAUAGUUGUGACCUUUUGUCCCUAGUUAAGGAACAUGAAAUCACCCUUUGAUUUCUGUCAUGCUAGUAAAAGCUGACCUUUAUAAUCCCUUGGAACUGAUGUGCUAUUUUGAGAAUGGGCAUAAUUUAACUAUGACAAAUGACCACAACUAUAGGACUACCCAAAGACAAGUAUAGGACGUGCAUUUCUGUGGAAUAUUUAAUGGCUAUAUUUUAAUCUAAUAAAGUUCAUUGGGAGGAACACUUAUAAACACCUUUGGGUUAUGUCCUGUGACUAUAGUAACUGAAAACUGGUCCACUUGAGUAGCCUAUUUUAAUGUAAAAUGCCCUCAUCUACCCUGCCCCUCCUUCAAACUGUCCUGUUCCUACUGUCCCUUCUUGUAACAUCGUUUGAGGUACUGAAGAUGAGCUAUUCAUUCCAAAUUUUAUUAUAUAAAGUAGAAAAGUCUAUUAUCAUCAUGUACAUGUCCUAUGGAAUUAUCUUUCCCUUGUCAAACCAUCACAAAUGAAUAGAAAACAGUAAAAGAAACCACAUAUUAUUUUGUGGAUUGAAUAUAUUUCAAAUGUAAUAAUUUGACAUGAAUGUAAUUAAAGAAAUUUUGAAUCAAAGCAAAUAGUAACACAGAUUAAAUCCAUAGUAUGAGUUUGCUGAAGAUUAAAGGGGGACUGAAUUUUAAUCCAAGAACAAAAUGGCAGAUAGUAGAUUUGGCCUGGUGGGGAUGUCAUGGGAUAUCUAAGGUGUCAUAUUCUAAGUUAAAGAAAUAUUUGCCAACCCCUUCAGAAGAAUUACAAGGAGGAAUUUGCUUUUGUGCAUGACUGGAUUUGGAGGCUGGAGUAACUCUGAUGCUCUGGCAAUAGUUUUCUAUCCUGAGAAUUACAGCUACACAGGGAAAUUUUUAAGAAUAUAUGAAUACCUGGGCCCCUCCUACAGAGCCUCUCAUUUAUUUUGACUGGAGGGUGGCACCUGGCUACGGAGAAUCCACCAAGAAUCCUAAUGAGCAGCCAGUUUUGAGAAGCUGUGAAAUCUGGUUUUGAAUCAUCACAGGAACCUUCCUUGGUUGUUUGCUCUGUGGUGAUGAUUGAAGAUUCCUGUCUUUUCCAUGAUUAUAUUAUGUGAAGAAUCAUUGGCAGUUCUCAAAACUUACAAACUUUCUAUUAUUUAUACUUACAGAGAUUGUUUAUGUCCUUCUUCUAGACUCUGAAAAUACCACCCAAUGUCUACUGUAUCUAUUGUGAUAAAAUUCAGAGGUAAGAAGACCUGAUGGUUAGAAGAAGAGCAGGGAAUAACCUGAAAAUCAGGAGUAGCUGCCUAAACUUGCCAGACAGUUAGUAGUCUUCUUAGUCAUUCAUAGUUAAAUGUGAAGUAAUUAACUUUAGUUGCAUUUUCUCUAGAAAUCAUGUAAGAUAACCUGCAUCACCCAAAUUGGAAUUUUGGUUGGGGGCACGUGGAAGAGAAGAGCUUUUAGAUGUUGCACUCACAAACUGGCAAAUAACAGGGAAAAUUAAUUCCAGGGAUGUAUGUGAUUUGUUUAGCAUGGAGAGUGUCAAGAAAGGAUUCAUUAGAGCAUGCACUUCUAAUUCUUUAGAACCCCAGUACUCUUUAGUAGAUUGGAGCAAUAUAUACCACUACUCCCUGUUAUAUUGCUUAACUCAUAUUUCCUCCUUGAACCCAGAAGGCAUAUUUUUUUCACCAGUUUCAAAGCUUAGAAGCAGAAUAUACACACUCUAAUAUUAUGAUGUAAGAAUUAUGGAGGGAGAACAGCUCUACUGAAAAUGAGGCCAGCUAAAAGUUGGAAUAUUGAUAUAGGUAGGUAGUUACAAUGGAGUCAAAGAAAACUGAUUUUUUUUUUGCAUUAUACCUGUAGUUAUCACUAUACCAAAUAAGGGGGGGUAACCAUUUCUCCUCUCUCCUAUUUAUUUUUUUCCUUCUUUAC